ACCAGUACCGUGAGGGAAAGGCGAAAAGAACCCCGGCGAGGGGAGUGAAAAAGAACCUGAAACCGUGUACGUACAAGCAGUGGGAGCACCCUUCGGGGUGUGACUGCGUACCUUUUGUAUAAUGGGUCAGCGACUUAUAUUCUGUAGCAAGGUUAACCGUAUAGGGGAGCCGGAGGGAAACCGAGUCUUAAUUGGGCGUUAAGUUGCAGGGUAUAGACCCGAAACCCGGUGAUCUAGCCAUGGGCAGGUUGAAGGUUGGGUAACACUAACUGGAGGACCGAACCGACUAAUGUUGAAAAAUUAGCGGAUGACCUGUGGCUGGGGGUGAAAGGCCAAUCAAACCGGGAGAUAGCUGGUUCUCCCCGAAAGCUAUUUAGGUAGCGCCUCGUGAAUUCAUCUCCGGGGGUAGAGCACUGUUUCGGCUAGGGGGCCAUCCCGGCUUACCAACCCGAUGCAAACUGCGAAUACCGGAGAAUGUUAUCACGGGAGACACACGGCGGGUGCUAACGUCCGUCGUGAAGAGGGAAACAACCCAGACCGCCAGCUAAGGUCCCAAAGUCAUGGUUAAGUGGGAAACGAUGUGGGAAGGCCCAGACAGCCAGGAUGUUGGCUUAGAAGCAGCCAUCAUUUAAAGAAAGCGUAAUAGCUCACUGGUCGAGUCGGCCUGCGCGGAAGAUGUAACGGGGCUAAACCAUGCACCGAAGCUGCGGCAGCGAACGUAUCACCCAAGACAACUUUACGGAGUUGACGAUUGACGGAGCGAAGCGACGUCAAAGCGUUCAUUAAAGUCGAGUUGGCUUAGGGAUACGUUCGUUGGGUAGGGGAGCGUUCUGUAAGCCUGUGAAGGUGUGUCGUGAGGCAUGCUGGAGGUAUCAGAAGUGCGAAUGCUGACAUAAGUAACGAUAAAGCGGGUGAAAAGCCCGCUCGCCGGAAGACCAAGGGUUCCUGUCCAACGUUAAUCGGGGCAGGGUGAGUCGACCCCUAAGGCGAGGCCGAAAGGCGUAGUCGAUGGGAAACGGGUUAAUAUUCCCGUACUUGGUGUUACUGCGAAGGGGGGACGGAGAAGGCUAUGUUGGCCGGGCGACGGUUGUCCCGGUUUAAGCGUGUAGGUGUGUGUUCCAGGUAAAUCCGGUUCACUUUAACACUGAGGCGUGACGACGAGGCACUACGGUGCUGAAGCAACAAAUGCCCUGCUUCCAGGAAAAGCCUCUAAGCAUCAGGUAACACGAAAUCGUACCCCAAACCGACACAGGUGGUCAGGUAGAGAAUACCAAGGCGCUUGAGAGAACUCGGGUGAAGGAACUAGGCAAAAUGGUGCCGUAACUUCGGGAGAAGGCACGCUGACACGUAGGUGAAGUGAUUUACUCAUGGAGCUGAAGUCAGUCGAAGAUACCAGCUGGCUGCAACUGUUUAUUAAAAACACAGCACUGUGCAAACACGAAAGUGGACGUAUACGGUGUGACGCCUGCCCGGUGCCGGAAGGUUAAUUGAUGGGGUCAGCGUAAGCGAAGCUCCUGAUCGAAGCCCCGGUAAACGGCGGCCGUAACUAUAACGGUCCUAAGGUAGCGAAAUUCCUUGUCGGGUAAGUUCCGACCUGCACGAAUGGCGUAAUGAUGGCCAGGCUGUCUCCACCCGAGACUCAGUGAAAUUGAACUCGCUGUGAAGAUGCAGUGUACCCGCGGCAAGACGGAAAGACCCCGUGAACCUUUACUAUAGCUUGACACUGAACAUUGAGCCUUGAUGUGUAGGAUAGGUGGGAGGCUUUGAAGUGUGGACGCCAGUCUGCAUGGAGCCGACCUUGAAAUACCACCCUUUAAUGUUUGAUGUUCUAACGUGGACCCGUAAUCCGGGUUGCGGACAGUGUCUGGUGGGUAGUUUGACUGGGGCGGUCUCCUCCUAAAGAGUAACGGAGGAGCACGAAGGUUGGCUAAUCCUGGUCGGACAUCAGGAGGUUAGUGCAAUGGCAUAAGCCAGCUUGACUGCGAGCGUGACGGCGCGAGCAGGUGCGAAAGCAGGUCAUAGUGAUCCGGUGGUUCUGAAUGGAAGGGCCAUCGCUCAACGGAUAAAAGGUACUCCGGGGAUAACAGGCUGAUACCGCCCAAGAGUUCAUAUCGACGGCGGUGUUUGGCACCUCGAUGUCGGCUCAUCACAUCCUGGGGCUGAAGUAGGUCCCAAGGGUAUGGCUGUUCGCCAUUUAAAGUGGUACGCGAGCUGGGUUUAGAACGUCGUGAGACAGUUCGGUCCCUAUCUGCCGUGGGCGCUGGAGAACUGAGGGGGGCUGCUCCUAGUACGAGAGGACCGGAGUGGACGCAUCACUGGUGUUCGGGUUGUCAUGCCAAUGGCACUGCCCGGUAGCUAAAUGCGGAAGAGAUAAGUGCUGAAAGCAUCUAAGCACGAAACUUGCCCCGAGAUGAGUUCUCCCUGAGACUUAGAGUCUCCUGAAGGAACGUUGAAGACGACGACGUUGAUAGGCCGGGUGUGUAAGCGCAGCGAUGCGUUGAGCUAACCGGUACUAAUGAACCGUGAGGCUUAACC
rnacentral:rRNA from 1 species